rnacentral:rRNA from 1 species
GACGAACGCUGGCGGCGUGCUUAACACAUGCAAGUCGUACGGUAAGGCCCUUUCGGGGGUACACGAGUGGCGAACGGGUGAGUAACACGUGAGUAACCUGCCCACAACUUUGGGAUAACGCUAGGAAACUGGUGCUAAUACUGGAUAUGUGCUCCUGCUGCAUGGUGGGGGUUGGAAAGCUCCGGCGGUUGUGGAUGGACUCGCGGCCUAUCGGCUUGUUGGGGGGGUAGUGGCCUACCAAGGCGGCGGCGGGUAGCCGGCCUGAGAGGGUGACCGGCCACAUUGGGACUGAGAUACGGCCCAGACUCCUACGGGAGGCAGCAGUGGGGAAUAUUGCACAAUGGGCGCAAGCCUGAUGCAGCAACGCCGCGUGCGGGAUGACGGCCUUCGGGUUGUAAACCGCUUUCAGCAGGGACGAAGCUUUUUGUGACGGUACCUGCAGAAGAAGCACCGGCUAACUACGUG